CAGCUCAGGUCUGUCCAUUUACAGAUAAUGAGCUGGAUGGAUAGGGGACACAGUUUGUGGUGCAUUUAAACUUUGGGAUCAGUGUCUCUUUGCAGGUCUAGAGAUACAAAAACUCCUCCGGUGAAUCCAAUUAAUGGUGUUCAUUUCUGUGCCCUUACUUCGCAGAUAUACGUAUUCCUAUAGGCUUAGUGCAAAGCAAAGAUGUUUGGAGUCUCUUUGUUUAACUGAGCUAACCAGCUGCUCUAUAUUUACCAUGCAGUCAUAAGAAUGGCAUCAAUCUUCUGGUUUAACUGCUGGUAAUAAAUUUACGAACAAACUGUAGCUGCAGUAUUUCUUUUUGCCAUCAGUCUGUCAGAAAUGAGACGACUCCUCCAGGAAUACUCUCACUGCUCUCACUCUGUCACAGUGAGUAACGAUCUAAAUGCGCCGAAGCUCCCUUUGAGAUUCCUCUCCUGUUUUCUUCAUUGAAUUAAAUUUCACCACCAUGCCCACAUUUCACCAUUUUGAGCCUGCUGCUGCUGUGUCCUAAUAUUUCCCUGAGUCUCUUUAAAGCCUGCAGCUCUGACUCACACAUUAACAGACUACAGAUUUGCUUCAGAGCAGGUUAACACUGACGGUAUCCACCCCACAGUCUGAGGAUUACAGGAACACACACCUUCUUCUGUUACCUUCACCUUUUUCUCUCCUCAAUCCUCCUCCUGUCCUCCUGUUAGAAGGUCAUGUCAGAGCGGGCUGAGUAAACACAGCUGCUGGCUGACGGUCACAGUUUCUAAAUGUCUGAGGUCUGAGCCUGAGCCAUCCUCUAAACCAAUAAAUACUGCAACUGUCUGCAUUCACUGACUCAUUACCUUAAUGAAUACUCUGCAUAGCAGCCUUAAUCAGACACACUGAAAUUAUCACACAGAAUAGCCCAGCAUCCUCAGGGACAAAGACCUUCAGUCAUCCGACCUCCAGACAAAAUACUAACCCUGGAUAGAGCUGCUACUUAGAGGGUGAGUUACUAUUUCUAAUCUGGGGUGUAUGAAUGAUUUAUUUUAAGGUUUGAAAUAAUUAAAGGUCGAAAAGUUUUGUAAUUGAUCCUGCAGAUGGUAAACAGGCUUUAGUGUCUGCAUAAUCCUUGCUGGAGCAAAGCAUACCCAAUAAAAGUUGUAGUAUUGUCCCUGACAGGCUGAGAUUGUUAUUCAUAGAGUCGGAUAGCAUUACAGAGAGGACCCUUAAAGAGGUGCUUAUUCAAUCAAAAACAGUUCCAAUCUGCCCCAGAGACCCCAGACACCCCAGACUGCUUUAACAGAGACAAUAGUUUUCCUUCUAAGGUCAUAAUCUGGAGAAAUUUCUGUACAUGAGGACCAAAACCAAAACUAAACCACGAAGAUGGGGAAACCAGAUAGAAAAAUGAUGCAGAAACACCAGAGAGUUCUCUGGACCUGAGCCCAUUUAGGAUGAACUGAGGGGAAGAGGAAAACUGUCCUGUGGUCUGAUGAAUCAGAAUCUGACAUUUUUGGAAUCAUGGACACCACAUCAGCUCAAAGUCAGCGUCAAAGUCUGAUGGUAUAAGGAUCCUAGAGUCCAUGUCAUGGGUAGCUUACACAUCUGUGAAGGAUCCAUUAAUGCUGAACAACAUAAACAGGUUUAGGAGCAACAUCUGCUGCCAUCCAAACAAUGACUUUUUCAGGGAAGAACUUCAUUCGGCAGGAAUUACAACAGCAUGGCUCUGUAAUAGAAGCGUCCCGCUGCCGAACCGGCUUGCCUGCAGUCUUGGCUUGUCACCCAAGAAACCCUGAACUCUUGAGCAGCUGAAUCCUCUAUCGGGCAAGAAUGGGACUACAUUUUACUUUCCAAACUUCAGAAACUGGUCUGCUGUGUUCAUUAACAUUUACAGAGUGUUGCUUAAAGAAGAGCAGAUGAGACACCAUGAGAGACAAGAUCCUGUAACUACUUUUUAGAAACAUAUCACUGACACCAAAUUUAAAAUGAGUAGACAUUCUUCAUAAAACAAAAGCAUUUCAGUAUCAACAUGAUGUGGUAUCUUUGCACUAUUUUUAAUCUGAUAUGGACUCUAAAUGAUUUGCCAACCAUCAAACUCUUUUAUCAACAUUUCACACAGCACCCAAACUGUUAUGAAGAUGGCGCUGUAAAUAGAGCAGACAGUUUAACCAAUGACCACACUUAUUAACCGGACUCGCUUAGGGUCACAUACCUCCCUGGUCACCCACUAAAUAGAUUAGAUAAGAACAGCAGAUGUGUGUAUGUGUUUGUGUGUGUGUGUGAGUGUGUGAGCAGACUGCUUCAUAUUUAAAGCUCAGAAAUCAUAACUCAUGACCAGCAUGCUCACAGAGUGACAGAGGAGCAGUUAUAUCUCACUCAGACAUACCUGAGCUAACAGGAUUCACUCUAAUUGGUUAAUGGGCAUCAUGGGACACAUAGAGAUGAGCCGUGAAUGUGUCCAACAUAGACACAGUUUAACACGGGAGAUCACGGGAAGAGGAAUGACGGGGUUUCACACAUCCAUCCAUCCGCCCCUCUCCUUCAGCGCAGAGUCGCAGACCAGCUAAAUAUUUUCAUUGGAGUGUAUUAUGCUCAGCAGUCUGAUUUGUGUGAAGAAUGCGUGUGUGUUUGUGUGCAUGUUUGUGUGUAGCAGAGAGAGCUGACUCAGCAGAGUUUUAAUCUUAAACUCUGUUGUUGACUGUAGAGCAGAGAGGAGCUUCAGACACUCACAGAUCUCUGUGUGUUAUUGACUUCAAACAGAAAUCCUGAGACCCUGGACUAAAGCUGGACUUCUUUUCUAAAUUAUAAGAAUGGUGUAGAUGAAUAGAAGUCAAGCUGCUCUGGUUUAGAGUCAGAAAAAUAUUUGAAUCUAUUAUGCUGGGCUGGAUGAAUUGUGGUUCCCCUGCUGUGCUAAGAUUCAAAUGUGCACGGCAGUUUGGAGUGCAGAGAAAGUGUUACUGUUAUUUUGCACCUAACGCACUCAUCAAUUUCAUGCUCAGAUCUCAUGAUCUGUGAAUCUCGUCAGAGUAAAAAUUACUACUAAAAGGUUGAUGUACUGUGGGUGGAGCUUGACUCCCCAGCUUUCCUGGGCUAGCACCAUGAUCAGUUCCUCGGGAGGUUUGUACCUGCCUGAAACUUGAUCAGCUGCUCUCUCUCUCUAAAUGUUGAGACAAAAUCAGCAGGAUCUGAACUUAAAUAUCAAACAUGUUUUAGGUUCUAGAAAAAAAAAAUGAGUCUAUGAGGUGAUCUUAAAGGGAUAUUCUGGUGUAAAAUUAAGUUAGGGUCAAACACACCGUAACACCGAGUUGAACACCCCCUCGAGAGAUGAAUGUUGCCGACUGCUUGCUUCUCUAGUUGUACUAUCUUUAGUAACGACCGCACGAUAGCAAUACACAGCGGUCUAUGAAUCCGACUCACACCUCAACCAAAAAG
rnacentral:lncRNA from 1 species